rnacentral:other from 1 species
UAAACCCUACUUUGUACGUGAUGAAGCUGAUUUUGUUAUGAACCAACAUAGCUACCUCGGGAGUCCGGCUCUGUUUAUGGCAGGCAGGCCGUCUUUUUAAGACGGAACCUUAAAAUAAAUAGGAGGACACCCACCUUGCUUGCGCAGGGUUCAGGUAAUAAAUCAGCAUAACGGCAUAGUGGGGCUUUA